CCACAUUUUGCAUAUCUGCUUUAAACUAAUUAGUUAUGCUAAUCGUGCUCAAUUGAAUUGCAUUAUAUUACUAUAAAGCUAUUAACCCAUUAUGACCCUUAGAAAGUUUA
rnacentral:sRNA from 1 species